GUGGGUAGUUGAUGAUUUGUGGCAU
rnacentral:piRNA from 1 species